GAUCAAAAUAAGCUUAAUUAUACUCACAUGAAAACUUGGCUUUUCAGUAGCUGUUACAAAAUAUUACAGUAAUCCAGAUAAAUCUGUGCUCCAUCAUUCUGAUGGAGGACAGGAAACAUCCAAAAAUGAGGACAAACGCUACACACAUAGCACAAACAAGAAACUGUACACAGCUCGAAUAAACACAUGCCUCUAGCAUAUGCCUGAAAUCCUGAAACUGUUUCACAUCCAAGGACUCCAUUGUAUUAACAUUAAAAAAAAUAAUAAAAAUAAAUACAAUACUAACUCAUGCCUAUGCAUGAAGCGGGGAUGCAGAAGGCCGUGGAUAUGCAAUGCGUCCACCAUUGUUCUCCUUGUGAGUAAUUGGAUUGUUCUCUUUUUUAUUUGAUUCUUGAAGCUCCUCCAAUGCUUUUACCACCUCAUCCAUAUUUGGUCUGAGCUUUGGUUCAUCUACGCAUUGAAGUGCAAGGUUAGCCAACUUUUGUGCCCGACUGAGGGAGUACUGACCAUUAAGACGUGUGUCCAGUACACGGAAAAUUCUGCGUUUGUUUGUCAGGUAAGGUUUUGCCCACUCCACCAGGUUAUGUUGCCCAGAAGGCCUAUUCUUGUCUAUAGCUCGCAGGCCAGAUAACAUUUCUAGAAGUACAACUCCAAAACUGUAUACAUCGCUCUUUGCAGUCAAAUGGCCUGUGGCCACAUACUCUGGUGCAGCAUAUCCAUAAGUUCCCAUGACUCUAGUAGAGACAUGACUCUUAUCCCCAGUUGGUCCAUCCCUGGCUAAACCAAAAUCAGAAAGCUUUGCAUUGUAGUUUGAAUCAAGUAGUAUAUUAGAAGUCUUAAAAUCCCGAUAUAUGACUUCAGCUCUAUGAAGAAAUGCAAGCCCUCUUGCAGCACCAAGAGCCACUUUCAUGCGAAUGUUCCAAGAAAGUGGCUGGAAAUGAGACCCUCUCCUAAAUAGAUGAUUCUCCAUACUGCCACGGGGCAUGAAUUCAUAAACCAAAAGUCGAUGGUCAUCCUCAAAGCAGUAACCAACCAACUUAACAAGAUUAAGAUGUUGCAAUUGCCCAAGAUAGUUGAUCUCCGCCAGCCAUUCCCUGUGACCCUGGAACCCUUCUUGUUUAAGCCUCUUCACAGCAAUCACCAUGCCAGAACCAGGCCUUGUAGCAGUAAGUGAAUGCUCAUCAAUCCACCCUUUGAAAACUGAUCCAAAGCCACCUUCUCCUAGUACACUAUCUGGUCGGAAGUUUCUAGUGGCAUUCUUCAGCUCAUUGAAGCUAAAGUUCUUUAAAUUUGCUGCCUGCAAGAUCUCACCCUCACUUCGAGGAGUUUGGGGUACAGAAGCUGAUGAGACCUUGCUACUCAAAUUCUUUCCAUCUCUGCUGGAAUUUUUUGAAUUCAGCCCUACAUAAUCAAUAAACAAUUAAAUUAAAUUCAUUAAAAGUAGUUUGCAUUAAAACACAAAAGUGUUCUUUUCAGUGCCCAAUUUCUAACACAGACUUGCCCACAUUUAAGUCCUUCCGAGUAGUAUGAACAUGAUAUGCAAUCUCACAGAACAUCUUUCUUAAUUCAAAUUUUAUUUAAGAAUGAUUUUAUUAAUGUCAGAACCCUACAAUAUGUCUCAAGCUAAGGCUAACUCCAGAGAGCCAAAAUCUUGGUUACUCAUCAUAAGACUAACAAAUUUUUACAACUACUGAUAGAAUCCUAGGGAGGUUAUCAUAUAAUCAACUAAAGAAAGAUAACCAUACAAAUUUAUCUUAAAAACUGAAAAAAAAAAUGAUAAUAAAGCUAUACAUGUCCUGCCAAGAACCUAAUGUGCAUGUGAAAGCCAUAGCAAUACAGAUUAGACAACAUCCUCAGCAGCCAAUACGCAGGGAAAUACAUGAGAACCAAUAAAAAGAACAGCUCAAGCAUCUAUUGAUAAAAAAAAUAAUAUAAAAUAAAGACAAUUCAAUCUUAAUCAAGCAAAAUCAAUAACAGCUAAUUGCAAAAACAUAGACACACACACAGAGUCAGCAACCAAACCAGUAUUAGAAGGAGUAUAAGCCUUGAUUCGAUUGCUAAAGCAGAGUCCCAUCAAAACAAACGCUUCAGAACUUCAAUAUUGCAAUUACAAAAGCCAAACUCAAAUCAAACAAAGAGAAAGCUCAGAUCUUUGUAUUAAAAAAAAAAAAUUCCUCUUUUCCUGUUUAAAAAUGGGAUACAAAAACAAAAAGAAAAAGACCACUUAGAGCUAACUUAAUAGGCAAUAGUUACAGAGGAAAUGGAAGAUUUUGGUGGGUUGGUUUUGGUACUGGAAAUGAGAGAAGGGAAGAUUCAAUUGAAGGAAGCAAGAAAAGGAGUCUAUGAGAUGACAAAAUGUUUAAUUUCUUGAUGGCCUUUUUAGACCCUCGCCAACCAUGGACGGUUGACUCGCUUUUUUGAGCUCUUUUGUCCUUUUU
rnacentral:misc_RNA from 1 species